rnacentral:tRNA from 1 species
GCCCCCAUCGUCUAGCGGCCGAGGACACCACCCUUUCAAGGUGGCGGCACGGGUUCGAAUCCCGUUGGGGGUG